CCUGAAGCUGUAGCGCUCCUGACUUUCCAGCGACACAAAACAAUACGUUCUGCUUUGGCAUAAGCUAAUUCCAGCGGGAUUCUGUUAUUUGCAGUUGGAUGAGCUCUGCCUGAAGGACGAGGCUUUAAACAACCAGGGCCUGUUGAUUCUCCAGGGGCCCACGGCAAACACAGCCCUUCAGAACACAAAAACACAGCUGCUCUUUGAAAGAGGCGGAGAGAGGGGAAAAUACUUUGCAUUCUCUUGCGAUGAAUCAGGAGCCAAAAUAAGACCUGGUUCAUUUCUCAAGCGGGUUAUCCUGCCCAACCGCUAUUACUCAUCCCAGCCCCGACCAGCCCGAGGUUGGCGUGGCCCUGGCCCAGGGAGCCUGCCGUGCUCAGAGCCUCCCCAGAUUUUCCACGCUCGUGUGAAAAGCGUGUGCGUCGUGGCUCCUUCUCCUCCGGCUCAUCCUCCUGGGAGCUGGGCUGUCUGGAGCUCCAGGGUCCAGCCAAGUCAACCCCUAACAAAACGCAGGGAUGCACAGGGAGCCUCUGGAAACCUCGCCCCUGCAGAGAGGUCCAGAGAAGCUGGCCUGGCCGCUUCUUACUGAGCAGCGGGCUAGCACAGGACCUCAGCAUCAAGGAGGGGUCAGCCGGGGAUAGAUGAGGAAAGGCUUCAAAGGUUGGGCCGAGGAGAGUGGGGAGCGGCCAGGGAGGACACAAGGCCCCCCAAGUCCCAGCUCCAGACUGACAGCUCAUGGACUCCGGGCCCCCCAGCCUCUCGCAGUCCCACCUGCUCGCCGGGGCCUCGGGCCCACGUCCCGGUGCACGAAGUCCUUGGCCGGACCCAGCCCGGGGGAGGAAUGCAGAGCCAGACCAGGGCUGCUGGCCGGACUCCAGGCCCAGGGAGACGCCCCCCGGGCCCUGCUAUCAGUCCUGCAGACGCCACCAGACCUCCUCCCGGAGGACAGACUCCAGCCUUCACGUGGUGACCCCGCUGUGCCCUCAGCCCCGCAGGGUUGGAGUGUCCCAUGCGCCUGGCCGCCCCCAAAAGGCCGAAUGCCUAGAAUGCCACAGGAUUCCCACGGUGGCCCUUCUCCCGGCCCCAGGGAAGGAGCAAAGGCUGGCUCUGGGGUGGGGGUGGGAGGGCCCAGGGUACCAAGAAGAAAAGAAUGGAAAACAUCUCAUUGAUUACAUGUCGAAAUGUCAGUAUUUUGGAUUACAUAAAAUAUAUUGUUAAAAUUAAUUUCUCCCGCUUCUUUUCAUUUUUUUUAAUGCAG
rnacentral:lncRNA from 1 species